GCUUCUAUGAUGUAACGGAAACAUGACGGAUUCCUAAUCUGUUCACCCGGGUUCGACUCCCGGUAGAAGUA
rnacentral:tRNA from 1 species